rnacentral:rRNA from 1 species
GACGAACGCUGGCGGCGUGCUUAACACAUGCAAGUCGAGCGGAAAGGCCACUUCGGUGGUACUCGAGCGGCGAACGGGUGAGUAACACGUGAGUAAUCUGCCCUUCACUCUGGGAUAGCCACCGGAAACGGUGAUUAAUACCGGAUACGACCACUCCAGGCAUCUGGUGGUGGUGGAAACUUUUUUGGGUGGGGGAUGUGCUCGCGGCCUAUCAGCUUGUUGGUGGGGUAAUGGCCUACCAAGGCUUCGACGGGUAGCCGGCCUGAGAGGGUGACCGGCCACACUGGGACUGAGACACGGCCCAGACUCCUACGGGAGGCAGCAGUGGGGAAUAUUGGACAAUGGGCGGAAGCCUGAUCCAGCAACGCCGCGUGAGGGAUGACGGCCUUCGGGUUGUAAACCUCUUUCAGCACCGACGAAGCGCAAGUGACGGUAGGUGCAGAAGAAGGACCGGCCAACUACGUGCCAGCCGCCGCCGUAAAAC